rnacentral:rRNA from 1 species
AUUGAACGCUGGCGGCAGGCCUAACACAUGCAAGUCGAACGAGUGGCGGCCAGGUGAGUAAUGCUUGGGAAUCUAGCUUAUGGAGGGGGAUAACUACGGGCAACUGUAGCUAAUACCGCGUACCCUAGGCUUAACCCAAGUGGGCUUAGGUAGUUGGUGAGGUAAAGGCUCACCAAGCCGACGAUCUCUAGCUGGUCUGAGAGGAUGACCAGCCACACUGGGACUGAGACACGGCCCAGACGCCUACGGGAGGCAGCAGUGGGGAAUAUUGAGCAAUGGGGGCAACCUGACGCAGCAAUGCCGCGUGAAUGAAGAAGGCUUUCGGGUUGUAAAGUUCUUUCGGUAGCGAGGCGUUAACUACAGAAGAAGCACCGGCUAACUCCGUGCCAGCAGCCGCGGUAAUUC